ACUGAAGAUUUGGUGAUUGAGUGGCGGACGGGUGAGUAACGCGUGGGUAACCUACCCUGUACAGGGGGAUAACAGUCAGAAAUGACUGCUAAUACCGCAUAAGACCACAGCACCGCAUGGUGCAGGGGUAAAAACUCCGGUGGUACAGGAUGGACCCGCGUCUGAUUAGCUGGUUGGUGAGGUAACGGCUCACCAAGGCGACGAUCUGUAGCCGGCUUGAGAGAGUGAACGGCCACAUUGGGACUGAGACACGGCCCAAACUCCUACGGGAGGCAGCAGUGGGGAAUAUUGCACAAUGGGGGAAACCCUGAUGCAGCGACGCCGCGUGAGUGGAGAAGUAUCUCGGUAUGUAAAGCUCUAUCAGCAGGGAAGAAAAUGACGGUACCUGACUAAGAAGCCCCGGCUAACUACGUGCCAGCAGCCGCGGUAAUACGUAGGGGGCAAGCGUUAUCCUGAAUUACUGGGUGUAAAGGGUGCGUAGGUGGUAUGGCAAGUCAGAAGUGAAAACCCAGGGCUUAACUCUGGGACUGCUUUUGAAACUGUCAGACUGGAGUGCAGGAGAGGUAAGCGGAAUUCCUAGUGUAGCGGUGAAAUGCGUAGAUAUUAGGAGGAACAUCAGUGGCGAAAGCGGCUUACUGGACUGAAACUGACACUGAGGCACGAAAGCGUGGGGAGCAAACAGGAUUAGAUACCCUGGGUAGUCCACGCCGUAAAC
rnacentral:rRNA from 1 species